GAGACCUGUUGAGGUGUGGGAGCUUCAGGGUGUUGCCUCAGCUUCAUCCAGCCGUCUGACCUGCUGAACGUGUUCAGAUCCGCCGGAGAACCGAGUUUAACCCAGGCUGAGGUGAAUCUACGUAGCCAUGGCGCAGAUUUUGGCAGCGGUCUUUAUGACAUUUGUGUCCCUUGUCUUUGCAGAGGACCAGAAAACAGAGGAUGAUCCGUUCACAUUUGGAGGAGGACUGGAAGUAACGCUGCUACUCAACAAAUGCUCAAUGACACAGCAAGGGCCAGUGAAUGCUAAAUGCUAACCAGUGGCCCAGCUACCCAGUGUCUACCUGACUGGAGGAGGAGGGAACAGUGGAGAUCCUGCAGUACCUUAUUCCACCACAGAAGUGCUGAAAACAUGCUAGCGUCUCUCUUUCUAAGGAUGAGGCUAUAUGUCCUAUAGAUGCUGUAGUUGUUUGUUAUUUUUUAUUUACCACCUAUUUGCUGCUUACACGACUCCCUGUUUGAAAAUGCGACACAUCUUGUAGUAUCUGUGUUUUUUGGGCUUUUGCCUCGUAUUUAAUUUGACUGACUUUGAACUGAUUACCAAAAAAACACCUUAUGAAUCGCCAGUUGUUGAGUUAUCGUAUUUCUAAUACAUGUUCACUAAACCGUCUCGACUUUAGGCGCCACCUGACCUUGUUUUGAAAUGUCGUUUGUCUUGUUCAUCAGUUUUAGCAAUACAAUGAAAUUCUUAACCAAAAACAAUAAAAAUGUAACAAUAAAAGUUUAAGAAGU
rnacentral:lncRNA from 1 species